CACGUAUCGUGCAGCUGUUUACAAGCGCAGGAAGAGUCUACUGAUCUAUCAAAAUCACACAUACAUAUCUGGGAAAUUAUUAAUAGAGUUGUUAUCAAAUGGAGCACUUUUCCAUUUCUAUUAAACAGUGUGUUUAAGCGUCAGGCGAGUCAUGCAUCCCCUCAGAGAUGCUGAGCUGGGGGCCUUCAGCUUCUUUGCCUCUCCUCUUCCUCAUGAUGUGUGCGGGAGCAAUGGUCUUCCUCUUACCUCCAACUCAUCAAGAUCCUGGGGCACUUCCAGAUCAUCAAGACCAUCCCCCAUCCCAGACUGUGCCAAUAUGUGGACAUCACCAGAGGGAUAGCAUGUUUGGAGAAGGUGCUACAGAUUGCCUAUGAAGUACUGGAAGGUCUGGACUGCAUGAAUAAACCCCCCUGACCCCCCACAAUGUGCUCCUGGAUCGUGAGGUGUCCAUCUUACCUGCCUCCAAAGGUGAUUGCUCAAGGCUGUUUUUGUUCCAGUGACCCCUCCAUCAUCCCUCUUCCUUCAGGGCCCAAAACAGACGUUGGUCUCUUGGGGUUCUUCUGUUUGAAAUCUGUGUGGUAUGCUCUCAAAGUUUUCAUAAAGUUGCUUCUGACCAAUGAGGACUGUGUUGAAUUUUAUUUUUCAGAAAAUCUGAUUAUGUUCCCCAUAAUACAUAUUUUGUUUUACAUAUAUUGGUAGCAAAAUAUUGUGUGAGGUAAUGAA